rnacentral:lncRNA from 1 species
CUGGAGUGGACGGUGAACACACUAGGCGGACAGGAUCCUUUAACGUCUCUCCUGUCUCAGCCUUAGCUGUCUCAGAUGGCCAGAUAAUGAGAGCACUACUAAAUCAGACAGGUGGCCUGAGUGGCCUUGAGCAUACUGGGGGAGCUGUCUUCAAUGUCCAGUGUCCUUUUAGAUGGCUGUUCCUUGACCCCCACUUUUGAGCUAGCUGUUUCCCAUGACCGGACAGAAUUGCAUGAAGGACAUGCUACAGUGAUGAUGUAACUGCUGAGGGAGGGCAGACAGAAGGGGAAGGCUUAAUUCUCUAAUCUUCCCCUUGCAUGUGGCUUUCACCAUGUUUAAUUUUUCAAUCUAUUUUUUUCUGGCUUUAAAUAUUUUAAAACCAUAAAGAAAUAAAGAUUAGAAAAGUCAAACAGUCUGCAUCUGCCUCUGUGUUAGCAUAAUGGAUACUUUCAUAAUAUAUAAGUUUAUUUCUAAAUAAGGCAAAGAUGAGUUCUGACCACAUAAGCUGGAGCAAUAAAAAGAAAAAAAAAUCGUUGCUGCUGUUGUCACUGUUAUGUUCUAAGGAACUUUAUCACCAUCUAGCAGGGGUUUGAGGCAAGGGACAG